ensembl:lncRNA
AGGGGUUGGGUGUCUUGCUCAGGGACACUUGAACAUGGGACAUGGAGCAGCCGGGUCUCGAACCACCAACCUUGUGGUUCCCGGCGCACCCUCUCUACCCCCACGUCACAAUACAGAAAGGCAGGUUGAUUUUGUUGUUGUGAAGAAGCUCGGUUUGCAUGAUUAUAAAUUAAUGAUUUGAAUAAUAAAUCAUCUUUGGAGGAAAUGUCCCUCCUGAGCUACUGUAGGUUCAGGCAGGUCUUGGUACCUCCUACUUCCUGGUUCAUCCAUUAUACAGGGUAUAAAAGCUGCACAUGAUGAAGCUGCUGUCACCACGCUUGUCCCUUUCUGUGUUGGAGUCUGGCUGAAGAAUCCAAUGAGCUGGGGUGUUUGAGGCUGUCUGCAGAGUAGCAUCCCAGAUGACUGCUAUGGCUGGUUCCACACCUGCAGAAUCAAGGUGAACAUUGGAAAACUAACACUUCCAAAUGCUUGCCAGAGUCACUAGAUAUCUUCACUGCAAGAUGAAGACAACCUUUAGGUUAAAGGGCAACAUCUGACUUCAUUUCAUGGAUCAAGAUUUUGGCAAUUGCUUAAAUUCUACCACUGCAUUUCAGGGACAAGUAGGAGGCCAAACAGAAACCUGGUGGCGACCGUGGUGCCAUGAAUACAAAAAGGACACCACUGCAAUUGCUGAUUAUGGGCGGUCGACCUCAACUGACCGAACUGUCAAGGUCAAAGGAGGCUCAUGGAUCUUGGAGAAGAUGGGCGAGGCCUGGGUUCUUAAUAAAGGAGUGGUCAAGCGGUUUCAGCCUCCUGUGACAGUGGAAAUUACCAGCCGUCUUGAGUAAACGUACGGUCCAGAGAAGGCAACCGGGUCCUGC